CCUACGGUGUGCAGCAGUGGGGAAUAUUGCACAAUGGGCGAAAGCCUGAUGCAGCAACGCCGCGUGAGCGAUGAAGGCCUUCGGGUCGUAAAGCUCUGUCCUCAAGGAAGAUAAUGACGGUACUUGAGGAGGAAGCCCCGGCUAACUACGUGCCAGCAGCCGCGGUAAUACGUAGGGGGCUAGCGUUAUCCGGAAUUACUGGGCGUAACGGGUGCGGAGGUGGUUUCUUAAGUCAGGGGGGAAAGGCUACGGCUCAACCGUAGUAAGCCUUUGAAACUGGGAAACUUGAGGGAAGGAGAGGGGAGGGGAAUUCCUAGUGUAGCGGUGACAUGCGUAGAUAUUAGGAGGAACACCAGUUGCGAAGGCGGCUCUCUGGACUGUAACUGACACUGAGGCACGAAAGCGUGGGGAGCAAACAGGAUUAGAUACCCGGGUAGU
rnacentral:rRNA from 1 species